ACGGAAGGCAGCAGUGGGGAAUAUUGCACAAUGGGCGCAAGCCUGAUGCAGCGACGCCGCGUGAGCGAAGAAGUAUUUCGGUAUGUAAAGCUCUAUCAGCAGGGAAGAAAAUGACGGUACCUGACUAAGAAGCUCCGGCUAAAUACGUGCCAGCAGCCGCGGUACUACGUAUGGAGCAAGCGUUAUCCGGAUUUACUGGGUGUAAAGGGAGCGUAGACGGAACAGCAAGUCUGAUGUGAAAGGCAGGGGCUCAACUCCUGGACUGCAUUGGAAACUGCUGAUCUUGAGUGCCGGAGAGGUAAGCGGAAUUCCUAGUGUAGCGGUGAAAUGCGUAGAUAUUAGGAGGAACACCAGUGGCGAAGGCGGCUUACUGGACGGUAACUGACGUUGAGGCUCGAAAGCGUGGGGAGCAAACAGGAUUAGAUACCCUGGUA
rnacentral:rRNA from 1 species